GUGCUAACGGCCCAGGAAGAGAUGGUCAGUGUGGGCAGGAUGGGAAAUGCUUCUUGGGUAGACAAGGAAAAAGAAAGUGCUGGAAUUUGCUUGCAGGACUUGUAAUGAGGUGCUUUCCAAAGUAAGUGGGUCAAUCGCACGACCCUCACAAAGACUGGUACAGUCUCCCACAGGAAGAAGAUUGUUUUACACAGGUGCUCCACCCAUGCUGGCAGAGAAACAGGACUUAUUGGCACAGCGAAGGACCAGUUCGUGGUCAGCUCUCCCUGGGGCCAGUCUGAUUGAAAAGGCUGGAAGCACUUGCAGAGUUACAUGGAAAUAUGGAGAAGUGAGAGCCAAAUCUGAAAAGGAAAAAAUUAUGAGGGAUAGCAUUGUGAGAACCCUUCUUUGUCUUCUGUCUCAAAGCUUGCUUCCUGAGGUAUUUCUUGUGAUAAGACGCUUAACUGAUUUAUGGAGGUGGCAAAUGAUGGGUGCUACUAUGUGACAAUCAACAUCACUUUGACAUUUGAAAGCACCUGUAAGAGACUAUUCUUUUGUAUCAUUGACUCAAAGUUUGCUGGUAACGGGACUGCUGCUGGAUCCUGGUGGUGACUAUUAUUUGUAAUAAACUGGUCGGACCAACAUUUGAACCAUUGUUUCUUAAUCUCACGCCGGGCAUACAUAUUUCAAAGAACCUCCUCUCCCUCCUAUAAAUUGGAGCGAGACAGCACCUUCCUCCCGAGCUGCUUGCCUCCAGAAGAGAGUGUUCAGGAGUGGUUACUGGCAGAUCUGGCCUAAUAGCCCCAGCUUGGUGUGGCAAAACUGGGGAAUGACACCAUCAUGCCCUGUGAAAAACAGGAUGCAGAUGGGCAUCCCAGCUCCCUCCUAUCUGCUGACAAGGCCCAGAAGAUGAUAACAAAGGAAUUUCUGCUGAGAUCCCAGAGCCAGUAGCUGCCAAGGAGAGCUGACUCAGCCACUUCGGAUUUGAGGUGUUACUCAAAAGAGAGCUGACUCAACCACUUUGGACUUACAAAUAAGUUUGUACUGCCAUCGUCGUCGUCGCUGUGGUCACCAUCAUCAACGGAACACCCGACGACCCACCACUACUGAAGAUCAAUGACUGAACUACGAACCACGUUGGACCAUGGUGGUGACUAUCUCUCUCCUGCUUCCUAUACAAACUCCUUGCUUCUAUUUCCUAUCUUUUCUAUCGUCCUUCUCCCCUUCCCCAUCUCCCUGAAUGGCUAGGAUUUGUAAUAAACUGGUUGGACCAACAUUUGAACCGAUGUUUCUUAAUCUCAUGCCGGGUAUACAUAUAUCAAAGAACCUCAUCUCCCUCCAAUAAAUUGGAGCAAGACAAGCAUCUAAACUUUUCCUAAAUUAAUUAAUUCAGAAUUACUAAUGUUAAAACAGUGAAGUGUAAUUGGAUAGUGUGAAAAAGGCUACCACAGAAUUAAGUACCUCUCUUUCUUCUCUCAUGCUCCUUUUCUGUCUUGGCUGUCCAUCCAAAUUUGAGUGCUUCAAGGUGUUUGCUUUAUGCCUGGCUCAUUUAUGGAACACAGUAGGUGUAAAUGAAGUAACUUAUGUUAUUGUAUAGGACACCCUUAUUUUCUCUAUGAUUAAACAUUUCUGUGACCUCAUCCCUACCCUACCCAUAGGUUGCCCUAUGAUGGGCUUAGAAGGUUCUUGUUUGGUAUAAACAGUGAAGAUGUGGGAUGGGAGUGCUUCAGUGGAAGGUUUGCACUAUCAUUUUGCCAUACCAUAUAGAAAAUCUCUGCCAGGAUGUAUGCUAUACUGAUAAUGGUGGGGACUAUGCAGUCAAGGAAUCUCUUCACCUCGUCCCACCACUUACUGAAUACAGUUUCCCACUCUGGCUGAUUCUACAGCCAGAUGUAGAUGUGUGCUGGCUCUAUAAGGCAGCUUUGUUCUUCACAGCUGUUACACUCCAGUGGUUGCAAGAUUUUUUCCAAUGUGUCCGAAUUAAACAUUAUAAAUGCUCCAUUUCCUUUUGCUUCAGGAAUCCAUUCUAGUGCUAUAUUAUCCAUAAUGUAUAUUGCAGUUAAAACACAAGUUUAUUUAGUCAGGAUUCUUUUUCCUUUUCUGCCCUUCUCCAUCAACAUUCUCAAUUUCUCCUUUUGACACUGAUGACCCAUGAAUUACAGUAUUACAAAAUUAAUCCAGAUAACUAACUCCUUUAGCUAUUCAGUAAUUUUUUUCAUCCUCUUUUUCACCUAGGUCAUUGUUCAGUCUUACAUUCCACUUGAAAAAACAACAACAAAACCUUCCAACUGUUGUCUCUGCUUCUCUUGUUUCUUUUCUGUUCUUGUUUCUUUUUAACAGUUGUGCAUUAGCAUUCUUUUUACUAUCUUGGUAUUCAGGACUUGAAAAAUAUUAAAGAAGUCCACUUUCUUCAUUGAUUCCCCCCAGUCCCAGCUAAAUUACCUGGCUAAAGCAAAAAGCUCAGAAAUGUACACAACUUUCUCUAGUGCUAAUAAUUUGCAUCACUCAGUGUUAAAUAAAUAAAUAAAUAAGUAAAUAAAUAAAUAAAAUUCUACUGAUAGUAGCAAUAACACUGAACUGUUACACUUGGUAGUUAGCUUAUUACACUGUGGAUACCUUGUGUAAAUUUGUCCAGAAAAGAAUUAAAUAAAAUAAUUCAUGAAGUUUAAGUACAGGGAGGUCUUUAAUAUCAAAGUAGUCUCUCAUAAUGUCACCAUUUAUAAUAUUGUCUUCUGACUAUGCUUUUAAAAAUUGCUUAUAAUAUUAUAUUUGUGCUUACAAUAAAAUCUAUUUUACUUAAGAACCAAACAUUAUUUGUUUUGCUUUUAAGUUAAUAAUAGGUAACAUUCUGGGGAGAUAAAAGUUUGAUUAAUAUCAGGUUUUUUUUUUCCCCAUAUAAAAUCUGAGCUCAUAAAAGUUGUGGUUUGAAAUAUAGUUUAAAAAUGUUACCCCACUAUGC
ensembl:lncRNA